rnacentral:misc_RNA from 1 species
UCCGGCUUAUCACCGGCAGUCUCCCUAGAGUGCCCAACUAAAUGAUGGCAACUAAGAACGAGGGUUGCGCUCGUUGCGGGACUUAACCCAACAUCUCACGACACGAGCUGACGACAGCCAUGCAGCACCUGUAUCCAAUCCAGCCGAACUGAAGGCGAUCAUCUCUGAAAGCCGCGAUUGGUAUGUCAAGAGCUGGUAAGGUUCUUCGCGUUGCUUCGAAUUAAACCACAUGUUCCACCGCUUGUGCGGGUCCCCGUCAAUUCCUUUGAGUUUUAAUCUUGCGACCGUACUCCCCAGGCGGGAUGCUUAACGCGUUAGCUAGGCCACUGGGAGGUAACCCCCCAACGGCUAGCAUCCAUCGUUUACAGCGUGGACUAC